AGUAACACGUGGAGAACCUGCCCCCUCCCCCGGGAUAGCCGCCCGAAAGGACGGGUAAUACCGGAUACCCCGGGGUGCCGCAUGGCGCCCCGGCUAAAGCCCCGACGGGAGGGGAUGGCUCCGCGGCCCAUCAGGUAGACGGCGGGGUGACGGCCCACCGUGCCGACAACGGGUAGCCGGGUUGAGAGACCGACCGGCCAGAUUGGGACUGAGACACGGCCCAGACUCC
rnacentral:rRNA from 1 species